rnacentral:rRNA from 1 species
UGGAGCCUACGGGGCGCAGCAGUGGGGGAUAUUGCACAAUGGGGGGAACCCUGAUGCAGCGACGCCGCGUGGGCGAUGGAGUACUUCGGUAUGUAUAGCCCUAUCAGCAGGGAAGAAAAUGACGGUACCCGACUAAGAAGCCCCGGCUAAAUACGUGCCAGCAGCCGCGGUAAUACGUAUGGGGCAAGCGUUAUCCGGAUUUACUGGGUGUAAAGGGAGCGUAGGCGGCCUGGCAAGCCUGAUGUGAAAUACCGGGGCCCAACCCCGGGGCUGCAUUGGGAACUGCCAGGCUGGAGUGCCGGAGA